rnacentral:rRNA from 1 species
UACGUAGGGUGCGAGCGUUGUCCGGAAUUACUGGGCGUAAAGAGCUCGUAGGUGGUUUGUCGCGUUUGUCCGUGAAAACUCACAACUCAAUUGUGGGCGUGCGGGCGAUACGGGCAGACUGGAGUACUGCAGGGGAGACUGGAAUUCCUGGUGUAGCGGUGGAAUGCGCAGAUAUCAGGAGGAACACCGGUGGCGAAGGCGGGUCUCUGGGCCACUACUGACGCUGAGAAGCGAAAGCAUGGGGAGCGAACAGG